ensembl:lncRNA
UGCGGCUGGCCCUGGGAAAGGCUCCAGAGAUGAACAUUUCUGUUGUGUGAAGUGCCCGCAUUAACAGCCCGAACACGUAGGGGGAAGGCUGACAUCUGCGGUUUGGUGCGAGGCACCCUAGAAACGGCAGAGCCCGGCCCGAGGGGAGGGACAGCGGGGCCCCUCUGCUCUGCGGGAGCGGCCGGCCGAGGGGGUGGGGGGGAGGUGAGGAGCUCUGUUCCUGGCAUUAAGCGAGGUUUAGAAGUGGGGAUGUGACACAGAUUCUCGAUUUGGGACAUUCGCUGUCAAUGCCCCGAGGCGGGAAGAUAGAGGGAGAGCUGGGGCAUAAAGUUUGAGUCUGAUUCCAGUAGGAGCAUGAAUAACAAUAAUAAAGUUUCCCGGCUUUUGUCCUCGGUUUUCAAAGUAACGCGUUACAUCGAGGGUGCACCGUGGGUAGUUUUGCUCAGCAAUUAUGUCAACGAACCGCUGCUUUUGGUGCCGCGCUGCACAGAUUAAUGCACACCUGAAAUUCACCGAGCCCGUCCGGAUUUGUGACCCGGGUUAAGGAGGGAGAUGGCGGAGGAGCGCUGCGGGAGCCGCACGCGGGGGACGCUCGGGGCUGACACCAACGGGGCGCUGCGGCGACACGGAGCGGGGAGAGGGUGGGGUCCGGCUCCGAGCAGAGACACAAACCCAGAGGGGCACCUGGAAAUUGGGCGAUAGUGGGAGGAUAUACGCUGUCUCCACGGGUCUACAGUUGUCUGACCGAAAUAUUAAGGGGCAAUCUUUCUACUUCGAUGAGGUUCCGCCAAAGGCUCAGAAAUGAAAAGCACAGCCGAGCUGCACCUUUAGGGACUACCCUAUGGGGCAAAUGACGCUCUACACGAACAGAGGAGAGCGUGCCUAGGGUAUUUCGAGGCGUUAUCCAAAGGGAAAUACGUGAAAGUAAAGAUAAAGAAAUGUUGUGUCUUAUUCCACGAUGCAAUUGCUGCACAAAAUGCUUUCAAUCAAGUGAUUUUGUUUUCGGGGUUCUUUUGCGGGCGUCUUCCACACUUCACUUGAAGGGACAGAGCGCCUGGGUUGUUCAGGGACGAUCAUGUCACUCCCGAGAGAAAAGAGCUGCUUUAGGGGGAGAAAAAGUGCUUCUUCGCGGAGUUCAGUGUAUUUCUGAAAUGCCGCAUCUCAGAGAAAAGGCCUCGUAACAGAUUCCUACAUUGUGUCAAACUAUAACAAACUGAAUCGCGAAAAGCAAUUACAAAGCAAAUAUUGUGAUCGGUGCGGUGGGUAACAUCGGAGCCGGAUUUAGAGAGGAAUAUUAACUCUGAUUUUUUUUUUUCUUUUUUUUUUUCUUUUUUUUUUUUUUUCCCUUAACCAAUAGUGUAUGGAUUUGUGCUCAUUCUGAAGCCCUUUUCCUGUAGAUGGCGUUCUCUGGGUACCGAGCGAUCAGCGGCAAUGUAGCCGCGCACGGGAGACUUCAUUAAGCCGCAGAUAACAAAAUAAUUAAUCAUCUUUCUUUAGUUAUAUGUAUAUUAAAAGUGUGGGGGGGGGGAACCUACAUUGAUUUAUCGUAAGCAAAAGCGUGUUUCUGCCUCACGUGAACGCAAAUAAAAACUGUUUGAAUAAAUAAGUUGUUUCUGAGCAUUUUGUUGUCAAAGUGUUAAAUGUCCCCGUCAUUUUUAUUCCAAUACUAACGUGAUUACAGCCAAUUAUAUAUUCACCAGUGUUCUUUAUUUUAGAGUAAUUGUACUUGUCACUAAUAAAACAGAGACAUAAUGGAUCGCUACUAUUCUGAAUUUUAAAGCAAUUGUCAGUAAUUUGAUUGAAUUAUACGUCGUCUUCUCUACUUUUUUUUAUUUCUGUAUUUUGAAAUCCUAUUUUCUUGAAAAUUACAGCUCUGUUCCUGUUUUGUUGUUCCUGAAGUAACGAAACCUCCUGUAACGUUUAUAAAUAGAGCCCCGUCCCUUUGGAAACGUGGAAAAUCAUAAUUUCAGCCCCAACGCGCUAAAAGCUUUACACGUAAAGCCGCGUGUCCGGAGAAGAGCGGGGCUCAGCGCUGGGCGCGGCGGGACGCCCUCCACGGGGAAGCGGAGCCUCAACAGAAGGAACAACACCGCACCGCACCGCACCGCACACAACGGGGUUCGCUCACUCUAUCGUAGUGGUUCGUCUCUCUCCGUGUGGCUCAGGCACCAAAGCACGUCAAGACGAGUUCAGUUCCUAAUGUUUACAUGGGAGAACAGGUAAGGACACAGAAAAAGUAUAUAUAUACGAAUCCACUUGCAUUCCUCCAAGCAAUUGGAGCGAUUAUCCACAUUCUGUUCGUAUAUUCCUUUAGGUGAUGGUCAUAGGUAACGAGUCUGAGAGUUCCUUGAGUAUCCCUAGGCAGAGACAAUAGAGACAUCGAGUGACAUAGACACUGCGCACGCAGGAAAUAUUGAGCUGUGUUAUUACGGUGCUCUUUGGGUUGUUCUGCUGAAGAUGAGCUCUCAGAGGGCUGUUUUUUUGUUGCUGUUUCUCAAAGCCGAAAACAUGCCUUUAAUUUAGCAAUUGUACCAACCAUCAACGCGGUAAGAUAUGAUCCGCGUUGUCGCCAAACACAAAUCAAAAAAUGAUACAAAGGCUUUCACAAGUUAAUUUCAGAUGACAAAACACGUGCCCACCACAACAGAGAAAGUUAAACUAUCAUUUGCGAACUGUGCGGUUGCGUGAAGAGGUAUCUGCUAGGUACGCUGAGCACAGGCAAACACUGUCUAUCUGCAGUUCUUUGCACUGAAGGCAGGGAGAAGCUGAGGCGUGCGAUGCAGGCGGCUCUUGCAGAAGCCUCAGUGAGACCUGAGCGGGACCCUCAGGGAGAAAAUGUUUUCUUGUGGAUUCGGUACCUAAUACAACUGCAAAACUAGUUUGUAGUCGCCUUGGGAGGGAAAAUAAACCCGGUCUGUUCCUAAAUGGGUAUGGUUCUGUCCAGUCCAACGUGGACAAGGGCUACGAGCCUUUUAUCUAUACCUGUCAUUGGCGUUUUGCAACGAGCAGGCAAAGAAAGUGCAAUGCCAUCGUCUCACUUGUGCAAAAUAUUUGUUUGUUGGAGUUUUCCGAGCUACCGCGUGAUUUCAUUGUUCAGGUGGAGUUUAUAGAUCGGUUCUAAUAAACACUGUUUUCUGAAAACUCCCGGGGAAACAGAGACUCAGUGCGUACGUGUGCGCGUGUGUGCGUGUGCAAGCCUAUGGAGCGCCCCGUCUGAAAGACGGAGAGGAGCGAACACACAAAGGAGAUGGUGCAUCCCGGGAGAAGUGUUUCUUUCAACGCCUUUUCUCUCCACAGUGUCACCGCUCAGAAGUCAGCGUGCAGCCGCUUCUCGGUCAGAUUACUGCCGAGGCAGAACCACCACCCCAGGCUGUAGCGAGGCACCGUCCGCGCGCGGUGGGAGGGACGCGGACGAGAUUUAACUUGUUGCCAGUCGGUUUUGUGUGUUUGUUUGUUUGUGCUGCUGCUUUAAAAGCGAAACAAACUCCAGAAAAAAAAAAAAAAAAAAAAAAGCGGGGGGUGGAGGGUGGGCUGGGGAGAGAGGGAGGAGGAAAACAGGCUCUGUCUAAAAGACAUAUCAUAUGAAAAUAAUGUAUGAACACACCCACAGAUAUCAAGGGUACGCUAUCAGUCCUUCCCCAAGAAACUUAUUUAUGGGUGGUAGCAGUUAUAAUCAUCCAACAAGCCCCUUACCAUCUCUCUCCCCUCCCUCCGCGAAAGAAAGAAAAAAGAAAACAUGGAGACCACCCCGCCAAUAUAAAGUGCUCAGAACACCCCCCAACGAGAGCCGUCCCCUCCGACUGGGGCACUGCGGAAGCCGCAACGUUCGUCCCCGUCCCCUCCCCGCCCCCCCCCCCCCCAGUCCCGACCGCGGGUCCCACACCGAGCGCAGCUCCGCAUCCGCGCACAACUCCGCGCCGCGCACCGCCUCCUCCCGCAUGAGCCCCGGGCACGGAGAAAGUGAAAAGUGGCUUUACUCCGGGGCUCGCCAGGCGUCUUGCCUACGCGGGUGUACAGUUGUGUAUGGCUUUUGUGCUACCUCCAGCAUUUUGCUGUGGUUACACGGGGGGUCCAGGAGACGUAUGGGGGGGGAGAGGGGAGGAUGUUGUGCUUUUGUAGGCCCUAAAAAUGGGGUCCGCGGCUCAUCGCGUCAAGCUCGGAUCCCACUAAACCGAGGGCUGCCAUGGAUGCACGGAGCGGGGAGGCCAGGUAGGGUGGGUGGGCAGAUGCUCGCUGGCUGCUCCAAGCGCCUGGGGAAUAAUGCCCGGAGAGGGACGGGUCUGGCUCUGUGCUGAGGGAGGGGGGCAGGGCUGGGGGGAAGGUGAGGGGGGGAGGGAAGGCGAGAGGAAAUCAAAUUUUCUAGCGUUACCGAAAAACUGCAGACCCAGAUACGUGUGUCGUUUGCUCAAGAUUACAUUUAUAAGAGGCUAAGCGGCUUUAGAGGGGCAAUAGGAAAAUAUUCUGGGAGUCAAAGAGCGGCUCCAAGUCUAUCCAAACCCUGCUCAUUUCUCCCUGUUCUUGAAUUCAACCUCAAUACUCCGAAAAAAAAAAAAUAAAAAUUUAAAAAAUAAAAAUUAAAAAAACGCCGCAUUGGCCAAGAAUAUUUUACCAGCAAACAGAAUAAAAUAAAAUGUUGUAUUGAAACCUCGAGAACAAUAUACGACUUUUAAGUGGCCCAAUACCCCCUACGUUUUAUUAUCAUCAUAGCUCUGUGAGUAAUUCUUCAGGGAUAUUUUAAUUUCCAUUCUGACCCUUAGUGGUCUUUUUGUUUGUUUCGCGAGGAUACGCAUCACACAGACGGAGGUGACACUCAAACACACCGCUGUGUAACAGAAGGGCGACACCUCGGGUUUUGCAAAAAAGCACCUCCGAGCCUUCGGGUUGGCAGCGAGUGUCAGAACGUUCUGUUUUGAAAAAUUCUGGCAGUGGCAGAAGAACAGACAAAUUCUAAUGGAAGCUCGACGUCUACAGAUAGGCUCUCCAUGGAUGGGAUUCUAAAGGUAUAGGAAAUAAAUAGAACCUUUCGCGUGUAACAAAGGCGAAGAAAAUCAUCCCUUCCCACCCCGCUGCAGCCGCCGGGGCAAAGGCGCACUGCGAUGCUCCCGAGGUCCCCUUCUGUCACCGUUCUGUCCCGGUGCUUACGGCACCACCGAAGGUUUCCGUCCCCUACAGCAAUCGCUUCCCAUUUCCUCGUUGUUCCAAGCCCUGCCCGUGCAAGGCACCUCUCGAAGUUCAGCGUGAGGGGGACUCUUUACACCUAGUGCCGAGCGUCACUGUGUGAACGCUACCUCUCCUCCAGCAGUACCCCGCUGGCUGGUCUUUAUGGUACAGUGCCGCUUCUCAAAAGAUCAUCGGAUGGGGAAAUUUAGCUCUUCUUGAAACAUUUCAGCAACUGAGCAAUUAGUUCUGAAUGGGGUGGGGGAGGGAAGACGAGAGAGCUUAAAGGAGGGGGGGAGAAGAGGAGCUACAACACAACGAGCCCGAAAACAACAGGGGUGGGGAUGCAUAGGAGGGGGGCUUAAAAUGUUUGUAUUUAAAGGGUGCUCGCAAGGUCUUCUGCACAAUAUGUGCCGCUCUCCUUAAAGGGGCACCGAGUGCCAAUAACCAUUAGUCAUCCGGCAGGGACUUUUCAUUACAGAUCUAUCUUUAGGGGGAGUUCCCCGAAGUCUCCGCAAGGAACAGAGCUGCGGAUUUCAAACGCGGUCCACUUCGAUUCGCGCAGUGCCUGCAUACCUGCUUCAAUAGAAGGGAGCGAUACUCACCCGAGUGUGCGGACAGCCCAGAGGUCCCUGCAGCACCCGUGUCCUCAGUGGAAUGCCAUCUUGCAUCCGCGGAAGCUCCCAGCCUCCACUCGAUGUUAACAUUUACGCUAUCUCAAAUACCAGGCUCUCCCAUAGACAUUUUUUCCAGGGUUUUCAAGCAAAUUUCUCGGUGCCAUAACAUUAUGAUGGAAGGAUGCUGAAAUGACAGGCCUCGUAGACGCUUGUCUUAAUCAUCGGCUUCUUAAUUUAGUUUUAGUGCUAUGGUUUUGUGUGUGCGCGUGUGUGUCUGCGCGUGUGUGCGCGCAAGAGAAGGCUCUGACAACCUGCAGCUUCCUAAUGACUGACGAGGCAGGGCUGCUGCCGCAAAGUAACACUUCCCUGGUGUGAAGACCUCUCACUGGGAAGUUUAGUUCACUACUGUUCUCGCAAUGCUAAUCGUAUAACCUGUAACCAAAACCCAGGCAAGAAGGAUACAGCAUGCUAAAUAGAGUAACUUCUAAUCACUAAACGUUAGCACUACGACCAGCUGUUAGGGAUUAACUGAAAGUCGGUUAGAGACAGACACCUAAACUUAAAUAUACAAACGCGGAUGUAAGGGUGGACCGCUGAAUACGUCUUCCUCUCUCUCUUAGCUUCCAUUCAUUCCUCCACCUCCAGUCCCAUUCACCCCUCUUCAAUCUGUAUGACCACCUCUCGCCUUUGUUAGCGCUGCGUUCCGGCCCCGCUCGCCCUGCCCGAGCAGCGGGAUAUCGCUGUCUGCUGAGCUGCUCUUACCUUAAUUGCCCAGGUAACCUGGAAUAAAUAAGACAAGCUUAGAAUCCGGGGGAUAGAGUUAUAAAUGCGUACGUCCAGGCAUUUACUGUACCCAACGCGAUGUUAGAGGUUGUUAAUCUAAGGUGUCCCGACUCUUUUCGUGGACACAUGAUGCCAUCGAAGCGUGGUUAUUAAAUACUCUUUCUUCAUGGCUGAAAAAACCCUCAUUCAUUCCUUAAGCUGUCAGGACAUUUUAGCAGCUUAACCCCUUGGAAGAGCCUGGGAGUGCAGAGCCGCUGUAUUCGUGUGAAGGGGGACUGGAGGCUGGAGCCGCGGGGGGUGUGGGGGCCACAGCAUAUCUGCAUCCAUCGAGCUGACAGUGGUACUCUUUUCCUUCGGCCUUUAAUUAAAAAAAAAAAAAAAAAAAAAGAAAGAAAGAAAAAAAAGAAAAAAAAAAGAAAAACAUACAGGGGGAAAUCUGCGGUGAAUCAUUACCAGUAAGAGUAGUAUCCAGAAUCUGUAUUCAAACCGCACGGCAGCCCUUUGGAUGGCACUUGAGCUGGGGGUCCCCACCCUCACCCCGGAGCAGGACUCCCUCGGCCCCACAGCGCCACACGGGUCCCUGAGAGUGGGGAACACAGAGCUACCCCUCCUAGCACUGGCUGUGCCCCACCGGGCUGGGGCCGUGCACUCCCUUCUCCGCUCAGGCUGUUUCACCAGGCACUCCACCAACAUUUUCAUGCUAGAAAGUGCUAAAUUUUUGGACCCUCUCACAGGAAUUCGAGUGCAGACGGAGCUGAGAGGGUCAAAGCAGCCACUUAUUCAGAGCCACCAUAUACAAAGCUACCACUGAAGUGGACGGAAGCUGCGGCCAGGUCAGAGCUAACAGAAUUGGCAUUAGAGCAGGACUUCGAGUGCCCAAAGUCAAUAGUCCCACUUUUAUACAUGGGGAAUUUCCAGAGCGGUUUUUAAGGAAAAAAAAAAAAAAGAAAAAAGAAAAGAAAAGAAAAAAAACAGACUCGAAAAUUAAAGUCCACUAGAAAUAAUUGACGUGCUUUUCCUACAUAUCCUUUUCUGUCCUAUAAACAAGGAAUUAAUCUCACGGGCUUGGAACAAUACGCACUACAUAUUGAACGCAACAUUUCCUUUUUUGGUAGAACUGUAUAUCCGUGGCGCUAAAAAAAAUACAUCAUAUAAAUCCUAAAUUUGUGCACAGUACUUUAUUCUGCUGCCGUGAUAAAUGACCGAAUAUUAAGCCCAGAUCAUCAAACGCUGUGAAAACACAUCGCUGUCUGUAUUGGACCUUUGCUCAGAAAUGCAAAAGGACGAAGGUUUUCUUUCCUUCUCUGCUACAUUCUCAUCCCUGAACGCAGAGCUAAGCAGACUCAGCUUUGACCUAAGGAACACCUCAGAGCAUUAAAAUUUCAGCAGGCGAUGUCAGCGUUACAUUAAACGAGAGCUCCUCCGGUUCGCUGCAGAGCUGGGAUUUGAAUAAAACGCUCAAUGUUAACAAACAAUACACACGUUUGGCACUUUGUGUAUUAAAUGGAUCAAAGGGAUUUGAUAAGGCACAAUACCCCGUUUGUACAGACCUGAUUGAGUUAAUAUAAUAUCAGCAAAUUUUACAGCGAAAUGAAUCCGUUUCUUUUCUUUGUGUUUAAAACCAGCGCAGAUUACAAAUUUUAAUGAUCUGAAAAUGUUUGGUAUACAAAAUCAUGCUUAUUUCAGUAUUAGCAAAAACACAAGAAAUUUUUCAACACAAACACCCAGCUGUGUCUAUUUUAAAAGCAGUUCAAUGACAGCUUGCACUUAUGAGCAUGCAAUCAGCUAAUUUCGCUUUUUUUUUUUCUUCUGUGUUAAUCAACACUUUCCUUCCUGCAUAUCAGAGUACAAAUAGUAUAGUUACUCCACAGCAGUAAAUGUUUACGUAACCUGUCCUUUCUCAAGAAUCCGGUUACACCGAAUCAUUACAUGCUAGACCGAGUAGGAAAACGCACAGGGCCCAACCGCCCCGAUGGGAUCUUGCUGCACCGCAUUGACAUAUAUUGGUUAAUGCCCAUCAGAACCAUAAUAAUAUGCACAGAGCUUACCUUUCCUCUUACCCCAGCACCGCAGAGCUCAGUCACAUCCUCCACACUGCGCUCUUCCUCAGGAGUUCCCAUAUAUUGGCUUCAGGGUUGUGCAAGGAAAUAAUUACAAAUUAUGAUAUUAAAAACCAAAAACAAACAAACAAAAAAAACCCAGAAAUUCUACAAAAUAAAAUAAAAAAAAAACGAAGGUAGUUGAUCAUUGACUUCUACUUCUUUUUGGUCAGUAGCAACCUGUUACGGAAUUGGAUAAAUAAAUACAAUUGUGGUGAGGUCAAGCGAGGUUAAUCCAAUGCACAUAGUUCGUGCCAUGCCCAACUGCAAUUGUUUAUUGCCCAUCCACGGCAAUUGUUGUGGGGAUUUACUCUCUCUUUCUCACAGCCUCUCUCUCGCACACACGCACAUACCCACAAACGCAUACAGAAAAGGCACAGAGCCGUGGUGGUUGCACUGGAAUAUGCACUGGGUUUCCCGGGACACACAGCUGGGGCAGGGCUGCGGGUGUUAUUUCAACGGAACCAUUUCUCCAGCGGGACAAACGUAAACUUUGGCUGGUUGAAAGCAGCGACGGGCACCGGCUGUACGUUGUGUUGCACAGCGCUCAGUUUAAACGCGAGCGGUACUCUAUCACUCACAUUUCCCUUUCUCCUUUCAGCACGAGGAAGCCGCGGGGCUCAUUUCGCUUUGUUUCGCGGCCGAUUCUCAUUUCUGCCCGUACUCACAGCGGUAACGCCGUGAUGCGGUCGAGCAGCGCCGAGCCCAGGCGGCGCGCAGCCCGCUUCGUGAGCCCCUGAACCAACGCUACCGCCGGAACGGAGCCCCCGUUCCCCUUCCCGCGGCUCACACUGAGCCCCGCCGGGGCCGUCGGAGGCGCUGCGAGGGGCGCUGCGCCGGAGCCCGCGGGGCUCCGGGUGGUACGGGGCCUCUUAAUUCGUUCGGCGGCGCUGCUGCUCCGCAGGCCUCGGCCAGAGGCCUCUACCCGCCCGGCGCUGUCCGGCGCUGUCGCCGCCGCAUCGGGCCCGAGCCCUUCCAUCGCACAGCCCCGGCCCAGCCCCAGCUGCAGCGCCCGCCCCGCCGUCCCGACCCCUCCGGCUGAGUUUCGUUACUCCCCGUUGGUUAAAUAAAUAACAACAGCGCGGCGGGGCCCGGGAACACACUGCCGACGGGCGCCGUCGGGAUCCGCCAAGUAGUACCUCCGCUCCGGCACCGCGCGGAUUGCGCGCCCCCCCCCGCCCCCGGCUCCCGUCCGCCUCCUGCCCCGGUGGCACGGACGGACGGGGCAACUUUGCUCCACCGGAGGAGUUACCGAGCGGAACCCCGGAACCAAGCGCCGUUGGUUGGGCACGAGGGGAUUAGUGCCGUUGCGCGGAGGGGGACGGCCGGUGAUGCGCCCCGCACCGG